ACCGAAUUAGUAAAAGUUUAUUAUGUUAUCUUGAUGAGGUAGAGUUGGAUUUGGUA
rnacentral:tRNA from 1 species